rnacentral:lncRNA from 1 species
GACAAUAUUCACAGGGCCCAUUUCUACAGUUCUGUGUCUCUUAGCAACACCUUUAGGUUGACUAUUCAGUUGCCAUCAAUACCUGGGCAAGGAAAUCUUCCAGGAUGAGGAGAAACCUCCCAAGUCCGCUGGGAUGCUGCCGCCCUAUGAAUUGUAGACAUGAGUUUCAGAGGCUACAAAUUAGACAAUGUAAUGAACGAACAAUAAGCGGCUCUGCUUCUCCCUGAAUGGACAGAAUUAGAGCACGCCACUAAAGUGACAUCGGGCAGAAAAGGAAGGCUCACACCAGCAGUGGGAGGAAAUUACUUGAUGCAGAGAAGCAGUGUUCCUUUAUGAGUAGAUGAGCUAAGUCCACUUGAAGAAGAAGACAGUCCUGUUGGAGGGACAAGCUCUAAGGUGAGGCCGGCCCAUCAGAAAGCUGCCUCACCACAUUUCAGCACUGCAAAGGCCUUCUCAUACCCUGCUCCAUCCUCGUGCGGGUGAGGCACAGAUGCACAGGGAAGCUGAAUUAUUUACCAGUCGUGCAGCCUGUGAGGGGUAGCCUGGGCUUAAGCACGGGCCUCUCAAUUCUCCAUUUUGCUGUUAUUUUUCUUUAUUUCUAAUAAUUAAAAGCCUUGCCAUAU